UUUAUUUUGAUGCCACGGUCGAUUAAUACGAGCGGAUAGCGACCAUCGACUGUUAUGGCGGCCCACACCAUCACCAUGGCUGGCGCUUGAGUUCUGGCGGCCAACCGAAGGUGUAAAUUUUCAUUGACCUCUUUGGCAAGUAAACACGAUCAUUUUGUUUGUUUAGGAACUGCUGGAUAACGAAUGUUUUCUCAUCGGAGAAAACCAAAUUCGGAAGUUCACCACUUUCGGCCAAGCGAAGCAAA